AUUCCAGCUCCAAUAGUGUAUAUUAAAGUUGUUGCAGUUAAAAAGCUCGUAGUUGGAUUUCUGGCGGGAGCGAUCGGUCCUUCACUCAGUGUUGGAACCUGAUUGUCUCCUGCCAUCCAUGGAGAAAACUUAUCUGGCAUUAAGUUGUCGGGUAGGCAAUCUCCAUCUUUUACUGUGAAAAAAUUAGAGUGUUCAAAGCAGGCUUAUGCCGUUGAAUAUAUUAGCAUGGAAUAAUAAGAUAGGACUAUGGUACUAUUUUGUUGGUUUGUGCACCAUGGUAAUGAUUAAUAGGGACAGUUGGGGGUAUUCGUAUUCCAUUGUCAGAGGUGAAAUUCUUGGAUUUAUGGAAGACGAACUACUGCGAAAGCAUUUACCAAGGAUGUUUUCAUCA
rnacentral:rRNA from 1 species